UCCGGUAUAGCUCAGCUGGUAGAGCAAUCGGCUGUUAACCGAUGGGUCGUUGGUUCGAGUCCAACUACCGGAGCCA
rnacentral:tRNA from 1 species